GUGGGGGAUAUUGCACAAUGGAGGAAACUCUGAUGCAGCGACGCCGCGUGAGUGAAGAAGUAUUUCGGUAUGUAAAGCUCUAUCAGCAGGGAAGAUAAUGACAGUACCUGACUAAGAAGCCCCGGCGAACUACGUGCCAGCAGCCGCGGUAAUACGUAGGGGGCAAGCGUUAUCCGGAUUUACUGGGUGUAAAGGGAGCGUAGACGGCAUGGCAAGUCUGAAGUGAAAUCCUGCGGCUUAACUGCAGAAUUGCUUUGGAAACUGUCAAUCUGGAGUGUUGGAGAGGUAAGCGGAAUUCCUGGUGUAGCGGUGAAAUGCGUAGAUAUCAGGAAGAACACCGGAGGCGAAGGCGGCUUACUGGACAAUAACUGACGUUGAGGCUCGAAAGCGUGGGAAGCAAACAGGAUUAGAAACCCUUGUAGUCC
rnacentral:rRNA from 1 species